GGGGUUGUGGCUCAGUGAUAGAGCAUUUGCCUAGCAUGUGUGAGGCCCUGAGUUCAAUUCUCAGUCCCA
rnacentral:tRNA from 1 species